rnacentral:rRNA from 1 species
UACGUAGGGGGCUAGCGUUGUCCGGAUUUAUUGGGCGUAAAGAGCGUGUAGGCGGCCUGGUAGGUCUGCUGUGAAAACUCGAGGCUCAACCUCGAGAUGUCGGCGGAAACCGUAAAGCUAGAGUCCGGAAGAGGAGAGUGGAAUUCCUGGUGUAGCGGUGAAAUGCGCAGAUAUCAGGAAGAACACCCGUGGCGAAGGCGGCUCUCUGGGACGGUACUGACGCUGAGACGCGAAAGCGUGGGGAGCGAACAGG